AUCACCUAAGUAUCUUGUUAAGAUGCAGGAUUUGAUUCAGGAGGGCUGGGAUGGAGCCUCAAAUUCUGCAUUUCUAACAAGCUCCCAGGAUGAUGCUGA
rnacentral:pre_miRNA from 1 species